rnacentral:rRNA from 1 species
AUUGAACGCUGGCGGCAGGCCUAACACAUGCAAGUCGAGCGGCAGCGGGAAAGUAGCUUGCUACUUUUGCCGGCGAGCGGCGGACGGGUGAGUAAUGCCUGGGAAAUUGCCCAGUCGAGGGGGAUAACAGUUGGAAACGACUGCUAAUACCGCAUAUGCCCUACGGGGGAAAGCAGGGGACCUUCGGGCCUUGCGCGAUUGGAUAUGCCCAGGUGGGAUUAGCUAGUUGGUGAGGUAAUGGCUCACCAAGGCGACGAUCCCUAGCUGGUCUGGGAGGAUGAUCGGCCACACUGGAACUGAGACACGGUCCAGACUCCUACGGGAGGCAGCAGUGGGGAAUAUUGCACAAUGGGGGAAACCCUGAUGCAGCCAUGCCGCGUGUGUGAAGAAGGCCUUCGGGUUGUAAAGCACUUUCAGCGAGGAGGAAAGGUUGAUGCCUAAUACGUAUCAACUGUGACGUUACUCGCAGAAGAAGCACCGGCUAACUCCGUGCCAGCCGCCGCCGUAA